rnacentral:rRNA from 1 species
AUUGAACGCUGGCGGCAGGCCUAACACAUGCAAGUCGAGCGGAUGAAGGGAGCUUGCUCCUGGAUUCAGCGGCGGACGGGUGAGUAAUGCCUAGGAAUCUGCCUGGUCGUGGGGGACAACGUCCUGAAACGGGCGCUAAUACCGCAUACGUCCUGAGGGAGAAAGUGGGGGAUCUUCGGACCUCACGCUAUCAGAUGAGCCUAGGUCGGAUUAGCUAGUUGGGGGGGUAAAGGCCUACCAAGGCGACGAUCCGUAACUGGUCUGAGAGGAUGAUCAGUCACACUGGAACGGAGACACGGUCCAGACUCCUACGGGAAGCAGCAGUGGGGAAUAUUGGGCGAUGGGGGAGAGCCUGAUCCAGCCAUGCCGCGUGUGUGAAGAAGGUCUUCGGAUUGGAAAGCGCUUUAAGUUGGGAGGAAGGGCAGUAAGUUAAUACCUUGCUGUUUUGACGUUACCAACAGAAUAAGCACCGGCUAACUUCGUG